rnacentral:rRNA from 1 species
CAGCAGCCGCGGGAAUACGAAGGGGGCUAGCGUUGCUCGGAAUGACUGGGCGUAAAGGGCGCGUAGGCGGAUCACGCAGUCAGAUGUGAAAUUCCUGGGCUUAACCUGGGGGCUGCAUUUGAGACGCGUGGUCUAGAGUGUGAAAGAGGGUCGUGGAAUUCCCAGUGUAGAGGUGAAAUUCGUAGAUAUUGGGAAGAACACCGGUGGCGAAGGCGGCGACCUGGUUCAUUACUGACGCUGAGGCGCGAAAGCGUGGGGAGCAAACAGGAUUAGAUACCCCCGUAGUCCCUGUCUCUUAUAC